GACGAACGCUGGCGGCGUGCUUAACACAUGCAAGUCGAGCGGUAAGGCCCUUUCGGGGGUACACGAGCGGCGAACGGGUGAGUAACACGUGGGUGACCUGCCCUCAGCUCUGGGAUAAGCCUGGGAAACCGGGUCUAAUACUGGAUAUGACUCCAUGACGCAUGUUGUGGGGUGGAAAGCCUUGUGCGGCUGAGGAUGGGCCCGCGGCCUAUCAGCUUGUUGGUGGGGUGANGGCCUACCAAGGCGACGACGGGUAGCCGGCCUGAGAGGGCGACCGGCCACACUGGGACUGAGACACGGCCCAGACUCCUACGGGAGGGCAGCAGUGGGGAAUCUUGCGCAAUGGGCGAGAGCCUGACGCAGCGACGCCGCGUGAGGGAUGACGGCCU
rnacentral:rRNA from 1 species